ACCGUGACCUCCCACUCGCCGGCCGAGCCGGUCAGCAGCCCCUCGCCGACGUAGUCCCCGUCCGCGAGCACACCGAGGACGGUCGGAUCGCCGUACUUGCCGGUGCCCAGCUUGUUGCUCUUGCCGUGCGCGAUGAGAACGACCUCGUCGGCCGGGCUGCCCGCCUCCACGAUGGUCUCGCCGGCGGCCACCUCCCGCUGCUCGAACCGCUCCGCCAGCGCGCCCAGAACCUCCUCGUCCGCGAAGUCGCGCAGCGGCGGCAGCUCACGCAGCUCGGCGGGGAUGACCCGGACGUCCGUGCCGGUGGCGACGAACUCGACCCGGCCGUCGCCGAGGGUGUGGGUGAGCCGGCGGUUCACCCGGUACGCCCCUCCGGAGACCUGCACCCACGGCAGCAGGCGCAGCAGCCACCGCGAGGAGAGGCCCUGCAUCUGCGGAGGGGUCUUCGUCGUACUCGCCAGGUUCCGCGCGGCAGCCGUGGCCAGGCUCUGCUGCGGCUG
rnacentral:antisense_RNA from 1 species